rnacentral:rRNA from 1 species
GACGAACGCUGGCGGCGUGCCUAAUACAUGCAAGUAGAACGCUGAAGGAGGAGCUUGCUCUUCUGGAUGAGUUGCGAACGGGUGAGUAACGCGUAGGUAACCUGCCUGGUAGCGGGGGAUAACUAUUGGAAACGAUAGCUAAUACCGCAUAACAGUAGAUGUUGCAUGACAUUUGCUUAAAAGGUGCAAUUGCACCACUACCAGAUGGACCUGCGUUGUAUUAGCUAGUUGGUGGGGUAACGGCUCACCAAGGCGACGAUACAUAGCCGACCUGAGAGGGUGAUCGGCCACACUGGGACUGAGACACGGCCCAGACUCCUACGGGAGGCAGCAGUAGGGAAUCUUCGGCAAUGGACGGAAGUCUGACCGAGCAGCGCCGCGUGAGUGAAGAAGGUUUUCGGAUCGUAAAGCUCUGUUGUAAGAGAAGAACGAGUGUGAGAGUGGAAAGUUCACACUGUGACGGUAUCUUACCAGAAAGGGACGGCUAACUACGUG